rnacentral:rRNA from 1 species
UACAGAGGUCCCAAGCGUUGUUCGGAUUCACUGGGCGUAAAGGGUGCGUAGGCGGUCGGGUAAGUCUGAUGUGAAAACCCGAGGCUCAACCUCGGGCCUGCAGUCGAUACGGGCAAACUAGAGUACUGCAGGGGAGACUGGAAUUCCUGGUGUAGCGGUGAAAUGCGCAGAUAUCAGGAGGAACACCGAUGGCGAAGGCAGUUCUCUGGGCCGUAACUGACGCUGAGGAGCGAAAGCGUGGGGAGCGAACAGG